CAUUGCUCUAUGAAGUGAAUGGCUGCAUAAAUCUGAGUGUACUAAGGUAGCGCUAUAAUUUGCCUUUUAAAUGGGGGCUGGUAUGAACGGGUUCACGUGAGAGUUGCUGUGUCAUAGAAAUUUUUUUGAAAUUAACCUUUAGGUGAAGAGGCCUAAGUAAAAUUAAAGGACGACAAGACCCUAGAAGCUUUACUAAGGGUAGGUUAAUAUAUUAAUUUAUUUAAGUUUUGUUGGGGCAACAUAGUUAGAAAGUAUAACUUGUUUUUAUAAACUUACAAGUUAAAACCACAUCGGUGAAUAAGAUAAGCUACUCUAGGGAUAACAGCGUUAUUUUUUUUAAUAGUACGUAUUGUAAAAAAAGUUUGCGACCUCGAUGUUGGACUAAGGUGUCCUUAAGGUGUAGAAGUCUUAAAGGGUUGGCCUGUUCGUCCAUUAAAACCUUACAUGAUCUGA
rnacentral:rRNA from 1 species